UGAGGAAAUCGCAAAGGAGUCUGACACAGCUAUAGCGAGUGAGAGAAAGAGAACAGAGAGUGAAAAAAAUGGCUGAAUACGAAGAGAUAUACGAACAGAACGGAGAAGAAAAGGACCAUCAUAAUUCUCACCCUCAUACCGACUUUUCUCCGUCUCUGAACACUGAUCUCACUGAUUCCAAAUCUCAUUAUGGGUCUCGUGAUUAUGAUAGAGAAUCUUCCAGAAGCAGAGAAAAGGAACGAGAGAAAGGGAAAGAAAAGGAGAGAAAAAGAGAUAAGGGGAGGGACAGGGAUAGAGAGAGAAGCGGAGAUAGGGAGAGAAGCAGGGACAUGGAUAAGGAGAGAAGUGGAGAUAGGGAGAGAAGCAGGGACAUGGAUAAGGAGAGAAGUGGAGAUAGGGAGAGAAGCAGGGA
rnacentral:lncRNA from 1 species